GUGGGGAAUAUUGGACAAUGGGGGGAACCCUGAUCCAGCCAUGCCGCGUGUGUGAAGAAGGCCUUUUGGUUGUAAAGCACUUUAAGCGAGGAGGAGGCUACCGAGAUUAAUACUCUUGGAUAGUGGACGUUACUCGCAGAAUAAGCACCGGCUAACUCUGUGCCAGCAGCCGCGGUAAUACAGAGGGUGCGAGCGUUAAUCGGAUUUACUGGGCGUAAAGCGUGCGUAGGCGGCUUUUUAAGUCGGAUGUGAAAUCCCCGAGCUUAACUUGGGAAUUGCAUUCGAGACUGGGAAGCUAGAGUAUGGGAGAGGAUGGUAGAAUUCCAGGUGUAGCGGUGAAAUGCGUAGAGAUCUGGAGGAAUACCGAUGGCGAAGGCAGCCAUCUGGCCUAAUACUGACGCUGAGGUACGAAAGCAUGGGGAGCAAACAGGAUUAGAUACCCCAGUAGUCC
rnacentral:rRNA from 1 species